AGCCCAAUAAACAUUUAUUGGAUUAACUAGAGGCAUAACAUUGCACAGAAUAAACUAGAGCCAAAUCAAAUAAAAUAUUCUUCCAGUUCUGUAGAGGAUCGAGAUGCAAACAAAAAGAUUUUGAUACUUCUAUGGCUCUCCAUUGGCACAGUAACCAGAGAGGAAUAUUCAUUAGAUCUGACUAUAAAUGUUUAUCUUGUGUGGGAGGUCUUAGUAUAGUAAUAUGUAUUAGAAACUUGGUAUUUUUCCAAUCAAGCCUUCCCACUUCCAUUUACAUAUAUUUAAUUGUAAAUAUCCAUUUUCCUACCUGAAGCACUUUAAAUAAAUGCACAAUAACCACAUUCUACACAGAAGAGGAGUGAAUAGCUUAGGAGACUCGUGAUGAGCCCUAGAACUACUCCAGCCUCCACACAGCUGGUCCAGAGCAAUGCAAGAUGAUCCCUCCUGCCAGCUCGUGGGGGGCCUUGUAGACCAAGUAGGUGAUCUCACCCUCAUUUCUCCUGAACUGGGAUAUUUCCCCCCAAACCAAUCAAUCACCGUUGACAGAAACUGGCAUCUAUACCAACGGAAAGGUGAUGGCUGGUAAGGAGAUGCCCUCUCACACACAGAAGUGGGUUUCUUCAGAGCACAACCAACUUCAAUUUACACUUCUCUUUUCUGAGCACUGAAAUGCAUGGGCAAUAGAAUUAAUAUACUUUGUAACUGCAACUUCAAAACAGAACUGCAGAAUGCACAGAAACUCUCAAGUGAGGUGUCAUCAUCUGACCUCAACUGAACACUGCUGUUCACCACAGUCCGCAGCAGCAGUGCUGCCUUCGGGGGGAACACACUUCAGCCCCUUGAAGCAGGGAGGUGGCAGGAGCCCAGAGCUGCCCUAGCUCUCCCUGAGAAUUCCCCGGAUACACAGCACCUUUCAGCUGGCGCAAACCCAUACCACUUAUGCAUCGGGGCUACAGGUGUACCGCAGGAGUGCUUUUGACUGCUGCUGUCACCUAAUGCAUAGCUGACAUAGGGUACAUCAUGAGUUCCUCAGACAUACGCAAAAGCCCCAGUUUGUGACAGAAAGCAUACUUUUUUUCUUUGUGACGGAAAGCACAUUUUAGAAGAAGAGAAAGAAAAAGUUUUCCAGGCAGGAUGCACUGAUUGAAGACAAGUGAAAAAAAGCUGGAAGCUAUUCUUUCAAGAUGAGGUUAUGAAACCAAAUUGAUAAAAUGGGUAACUGUGAAUAAGCAUGAAAAAAGCAAGGUCUUAUCAGCUGGUUUCACAGAAGAUGUAAGUUGGGAAGAAGAGAUAGGCUUUCACAUACUCAAAACCACUCUUCAGGCAUGAUCCAGAGGCAGUAAGCUUCAAGCUAGAGCCGAGGUGAGGAUGAAGCUUUGUAAAUUAGUCAUACUUGAAGCCUCUCCCCAAGAUACUCUGUACCGAAUUAACUAACAUCUUGAAUAUUACCGCAGUCACACUGACCUACUGCUACAGUAUGCAUUAACGAUUUAGUAACAUAAAAUUGGGGAGCGCUGGUGUUGAAACAGACCCUGGGCAGAAAUGCAUGUCCUUUGUACUGCUUACCAUGAUGAAGCCAUAUUUGAUUGCUAGAGUUACAUUAAUAGCAAAAUCAAAAUUUUAUUUUCAAUGCCAAAACUCAGAGGGUAAUGUCACCAGAUGACUUAUGGGGCAAUCUGGAAAAGAUUAAGAGACAACAUCUUUUGCUUUGUAUUUACAACCAGGUUAACUAUGAAUUCAUUUUAUGAGUUGUUGUAGGGUAUAUUUGUAAGGUGAAAUUAAGAUAUCAUUUACCUUAAUACUGACCAAUUGAAGUCAGAGGGACUACAGGAAGUAAAAAAA
rnacentral:lncRNA from 1 species